rnacentral:rRNA from 1 species
GCCAACGGCCAUACCAUGUUGAAUACACCGGUUCUCGUCCGAUCACCGAAGUUAAGCAACAUCGGGCCUGGUUAGUACUUGGAUGGGUGACCGCCUGGGAACACCGGGUGCUGUUGGCU